AUUGAGCGCUGGCGGCAGGCCUAACACAUGCAAGUCGAGCGGAUGAAGGGAGCUUGCUCCUGGAUUCAGCGGCGGACGGGUGAGUAAUGCCUAGGAAUCUGCCUGGUAGUGGGGGAUAACGUCCGGAAACGGGCGCUAAUACCGCAUACGUCCUGAGGAAGAAAGUGGGGGAUCUUCGGACCUCACGCUAUCAGAUGAGCCUAGGUCGGAUUAGCUAGUUGGUGGGGUAAAGGCCUACCAAGGCGACGAUCCGUAACUGGUCUGAGAGGAUGAUCAGUCACACUGGAACUGAGACACGGUCCAGACUCCUACGGGAGGCAGCAGUGGGGAAUAUUGGACAAUGGGCGAAAGCCUGAUCCAGCCAUGCCGCGUGUGUGAAGAAGGUCUUCGGAUUGUAAAGCACUUUAAGUUGGGAGGAAGGGCAGUAAGUUAAUACCUUGCUGUUUUGACGUUACCAACAGAAUAAGCACCGGCUAACUUCGUG
rnacentral:rRNA from 1 species